UACGGGGGGAGCAAGCGUUGUUCGGAUUUACUGGGCGUAAAGGGCGCGUAGGCGGCCAGCACAAGUCAGUUGUGAAAUCUCCGAGCUUAACUCGGAAAGGUCAACUGAUACUGUGCGGCUAGAGUGCGGAAGGGGCAACUGGAAUUCCUGGUGUAGCGGUGAAAUGCGCAGAUAUCAGGAGGAACACCGGUGGCGAAGGCGGUUCUCUGGGCAUUACCUGACGCUGAGGAGCGAAAGUGUGGGGAGCGAACAGG
rnacentral:rRNA from 1 species